UUGCAUGUUGUUCAUAAAAACCUAUUAUAAAACCAUUUAUUGAUACGAUUUUGAGCCUCAUUAAGUAUUAGGAACAAUAGUGUCAAUAGACUACUAUGGAGCAUUAGCAUUUUGAUCAGAUAUUUUUGUAAUAAAUCGAAAAAAUAUUCAAUUAACUGUGGAUUGUUUUGGUUCCAUUCACGUCUAUUGAUUUAUUGCAAGCCAGUGACCUGUUUUUCGUAUUUGUUAUGUGAAUCUCGUAAAUAAUUAAUAGUAAUCGUGAGAGGUCAGUGUUCGAGUAAUUAGUAAUGAUCCCUUGAAAGUGUGCUCGUAUAGUGUAUAAGAAUGACAAGAGAACAAAUAAUUGAGUUAUGUACCACUUGGUAAUUAGUUAAAAAUCUGUUAUUUCGUUAUGGUGUAUUAUCCACAAUGAUGACACCCAUAGAGGAGAGGAAAGAUGAAAAGAUCCGCACAGGCAUGGUGCAAGUGUCAGACGGCAAGUCGCGGCCACGGCUGGCGCGGCUCGUGCUCACCAUGGAAUCGGUGACGGUGCAGAGAGAGGUUGUCAUACCCCCGCAGCCGCCCCGAGACAAGAGUGUGCCUCAUGCUAGGGAGCGUAUGGUCCAAAUAACUCGACAGAAAGUUGGUGGAUUGGGGCUCAGUAUAAAGGGUGGGGCAGAACAUAAGUUGCCUAUACUCAUCUCCAAGAUAUACAAAGAUCAAGCAGCCGAUCAAACGGGUCAGCUUUUUGUGGGUGACGCCGUUAUUAAAGUGAACGGCGAGUACAUAACGGCGUGCAAGCACGACGACGCCGUGAACAUCCUGCGCAACGCGGGCGACAUCGUCGUGCUCACCGUCAAGCACUACCGCGCCGCCACGCCCUUCCUGCAGAAGCAAGGAACAGCGGAUGGCGCGUCCGAUACGGACAGUAGUACGGGAGACGAACACCCCUCUCUUCAUAAUAAAGUUGAUGCAAAUUGUAACAGCGAGCGUAACGGCGAAACGAAUGGGGGUUGGCAGAGCGCGUGGGCGGACGGCUCGGACGGCAGCCGGCCCGGCAGCGCGGCGGGCUCGGGCCGCUCGCGCCCGCCCUCCGCCGCGUCCGACCGCGCCGAGCGCGCCGACGCCGCGCGCGACUGGGUCGACGUCGUCUCCGUUCCUCUCAUGAUGGGUUACGUGACUCGAUACGUUUUCGGUACCGACAAACUAAGGCCAGGUGCUUUUGAGGUGCGCGGUGCGCGACCGCAGCAGAGCUCGGGCGUGGUGCACGUGGACGACCCCGCCGCGCUCUCGCACUGGCUGAAGAGCAUCGCCGACAACAUCACCGGCCUCACCAACCUGCAGAUGAAGCUGUUCAACCGGCACCUGGCGGGCGGCGAGCGCAUCGAGUACAUGGGCUGGGUGCACGAGGGGCUGGUGUCGGCGGCGCAGCCCUGGCAGAGCUACCGGCCGCGCUUCCUCGUGCUCAAGGGCACCGACGUGAUGCUGUUCGACGUGCCGCCCGCCAGCGUGGCCGAGCUGGCCAAGUGCCCCGAAACGCUCAAGGUGUACCAGACCAUGUUCCGCACCGUGAAGGAGAGCGAGACGGUGGACUGGCGGCAGCACUGCUUCCUGCUGCAGUCCAGCGCCGGCAGCCUGGCCGCGCCCGGCCCGCGGUACUUCAGCGCCGAGACGCGCCACGACCUGCUGCGCCUCGACGCCGCCUGGACCAACAACGUCGUGGCCUCCGUCGUGCGCCUCGGGAAGAAGACGUUCACGGUGGUGCACAUGGGCCGAGCCGCCGGGCUCACGCUGGACUGGUCGGCGGGCUUCUCCCUCAGCGAGGGCACGCCGGGCGCCGCCCCCGUCUGGUCGUACAGAUUUUCUCAGUUGAGAGGAUCGAGCGACGAUGGAAAAUCUAAAUUGAAAUUACACUUCCAAGACACCGAAACGAAAGUUAUCGAAACUAAGGAGUUAGAAUGUCAGAUCCUCCAGAGCCUGCUGUUCUGCAUGCACGCCUUCCUCACCGCGAAAGUGGCAUCCGUCGACCCCGCCUUCCUGGCCUCCAUACAGCAAGCCCACUAGACCGGCACUGCCCGGAGUUACGUACUUGGUAUAUGAUUAAUAACUCGACUAAGGUAACUUGAAAACGGAACGGAAAGGUUAUUAUCCAAAUAAGAAAUAUGUGCAAAAAUUGUUUCAAGAUUUAAAUUAAACAUUAAUAUAUGAAUAUAAUUAAGUUCGUUACUAAUUUGUAAGUGAUUCCGAUUAAAAUAAAUGGGACCACUGUUAUAAUAGUAUUGCAGUAUCGAUCAGUCUUUUUUUCUUCAGUCUAUCCUGUAAUAGUGUAAGGUUUUAAGCAUGUAACUUUCUAACUUUUGUAACUUUCCAUAAAAAAACAAUAUAAAAAUACAGAUUAUCUUGUACACAAUAUCAUAAUAAAAAUAUUAUAUGAAAAAGUAAUUACAGGAUCAGCAAUUUUUUUUUAUCUGUCAAAUUUAUCGAGUCAUUGUGUACAACAGAAUUUGUACCAUUUUCAAUCAAGGAUAAUCUACUGUCUUGUUGUAUUAGUAUAGUGUAACUACAGACGUAUGUAUUUUCUAACGAUAAAAGUUUCGUAAACGUCAGAGAUGACGUCAUAUCUCGCCUGGCUGUCUAUUACAAUGGAUGGAUCCGUUUUCACGUUAAUUAAUAAUUUCUCAUUUAGUUCCGAUACAACUUGUGUGGUGUGAAAUGAAAAAAUUGUAUAGAACGAUAUGUAACAAUUCUUGUACUAGCUAGUUGUUAACGCCUAGUUAUUUAUGACUAUUGUUGAUUAUGUAACUAAAAUGUAUCCAUUAGUAAAAUUUUAA